CAAUAGCGUAUAUUAACGUUGUUGCAGUUAAAAAGCUCGUAGUUGGAUUUCUGGAGGGAGCGUCGGCCCGUAUUUACGAGUGCGUGACGUCUCUGUCCAUCCUUGCGGGAAGGCACGGCAUUGAUUUAUUGUGUCGGAUCGCAUCAUUUACUGUGAAAAAAUUAGAGUGUUCAAAGCAGGCUUUCGCUUGAAUACAUUAGCAUGGAAUAAUAAGAUAGGACUUUGGUGCUAUUUUGUUGGUUGAGCCUAAAGUAAUGAUUAAUAGGGAUAGUUGGGGGCACCUGUAUUGCGUUGUCAGAGGUGAAAUUCUUGGAUUUACGCAAGACAAACAGCUGCGAAAGCGUCUGCCAAGGAUGUUUUCAUUA
rnacentral:rRNA from 1 species